rnacentral:rRNA from 1 species
UACGUAGGGUGCAAGCGUUAUUCGGAAUUACUGGGCGUAAAGCGUGUGUAGGCGGUUUGUUAAGUCUGAUGUGAAAGCCCUGGGCUCAACCUGGGAAUUGCAUUGGAUACUGGAAGGCUAGAGUGCGGUAGAGGAUGGCGGAAUUCCCGGUGUAGCAGUGAAAUGCGUAGAGAUCGGGAGGAACAUCUGUGGCGAAGGCGGCCAGCUGGACCAGCACUGACACUGAGGCGCGAAAGCGUGGGGAGCAAACAGG